rnacentral:piRNA from 1 species
UGAGAGUUGGCUCUUCUAAGUGCUUUUGC